rnacentral:rRNA from 1 species
UACGGAGGGUGCAAGCGUUAUCCGGAUUUACUGGGUUUAAAGGGUGUGUAGGCGGGCUUUAAGUCAGUGGUGAAAUCUCCGGGCUCAACCCGGAAACUGCCAUUGAUACUAUUAGUCUUGAAUUUUGUUGAGGUAGGCGGAAUAAGUCAUGUAGCGGUGAAAUGCUUAGAUAUGACUUAGAACACCAAUUGCGAAGGCAGCUUGCUAAACAAAUAUUGACGCUGAGGCACGAAAGCGUGGGGAGUCAAACAGG